GGAACUGUUUGAGAAUCUCCCAUAAGCUUUCAGACUGACUCCUCAGGAUGCUGCUUGGCCACCAAGGAGGUGACGUGCUCAGAUGAAAGGAAACAGGAUUUCAAACUUCAGGAACAACCAGAAAACCACCGAGGCAGAAGCGGCCACGACCUCCUGGAACACCAGCGUCUCUGUCCGCAGAUUUAAAUGGGGAGGAAGAAACCCAGGCUGCAGAAACCUUCCAGCCCGACUGAAAUUUGCAGCUGUUCACAUGUUAUUUUGGCGACACAACUCUCCCAGCAGUUCGGUCUACUUCCUGGUCCUCACAUUUCCUGUAAACCUGACGAGACUUUCGACCCGCCC